GCCCGGAUAGCCCAGCAGGCAGAGGCACCGUCCUAAAAACGGCGCAGCGCGGGUUCGAACCCCGCUCCGGGCA
rnacentral:tRNA from 1 species